rnacentral:rRNA from 1 species
GGGUUGUGAGGUUAAGCGACUAAGCGUACACGGUGGAUGCCCUGGCAGUCAGAGGCGAUGAAGGACGUGCUAAUCUGCGAUAAGCGUCGGUAAGGUGAUAUGAACCGUUAUAACCGGCGAUUUCCGAAUGGGGAAACCCAGUGUGUUUCGACACACUAUCAUUAACUGAAUCCAUAGGUUAAUGAGGCGAACCGGGGGAACUGAAACAUCUAAGUACCCCGAGGAAAAGAAAUCAACCGAGAUUCCCCCAGUAGCGGCGAGCGAACGGGGAGCAGCCCAGAGCCUGAAUCAGUGUGUGUGUUAGUGGAAGCGUCUGGAAAGGCGCGCGAUACAGGGUGACAGCCCCGUACACAAAAAUGCACAUGCUGUGAGCUCGAUGAGUAGGGCGGGACACGUGGUAUCCUGUCUGAAUAUGGGGGGACCAUCCUCCAAGGCUAAAUACUCCUGACUGACCGAUAGUGAACCAGUACCGUGAGGGAAAGGCGAAAAGAACCCCGGCGAGGGGAGUGAAAAAGAACCUGAAACCGUGUACGUACAAGCAGUGGGAGCACGCUUCGGCGUGUGACUGCGUACCUUUUGUAUAAUGGGUCAGCGACUUAUAUUCUGUAGCAAGGUUAACCGAAUAGGGGAGCCGAAGGGAAACCGAGUCUUAACUGGGCGUUAAGUUGCAGGGUAUAGACCCGAAACCCGGUGAUCUAGCCAUGGGCAGGUUGAAGGUUGGGUAACACUAACUGGAGGACCGAACCGACUAAUGUUGAAAAAUUAGCGGAUGACUUGUGGCUGGGGGUGAAAGGCCAAUCAAACCGGGAGAUAGCUGGUUCUCCCCGAAAGCUAUUUAGGUAGCGCCUCGUGAAUUCAUCUCCGGGGGUAGAGCACUGUUUCGGCAAGGGGGUCAUCCCGACUUACCAACCCGAUGCAAACUGCGAAUACCGGAGAAUGUUAUCACGGGAGACACACGGCGGGUGCUAACGUCCGUCGUGAAGAGGGAAACAACCCAGACCGCCAGCUAAGGUCCCAAAGUCAUGGUUAAGUGGGAAACGAUGUGGGAAGGCCCAGACAGCCAGGAUGUUGGCUUAGAAGCAGCCAUCAUUUAAAGAAAGCGUAAUAGCUCACUGGUCGAGUCGGCCUGCGCGGAAGAUGUAACGGGGCUAAACCAUGCACCGAAGCUGCGGCAGCGACGCUUAUGCGUUGUUGGGUAGGGGAGCGUUCUGUAAGCCUGCGAAGGUGUGCUGUGAGGCAUGCUGGAGGUAUCAGAAGUGCGAAUGCUGACAUAAGUAACGAUAAAGCGGGUGAAAAGCCCGCUCGCCGGAAGACCAAGGGUUCCUGUCCAACGUUAAUCGGGGCAGGGUGAGUCGACCCCUAAGGCGAGGCCGAAAGGCGUAGUCGAUGGGAAACAGGUUAAUAUUCCUGUACUUGGUGUUACUGCGAAGGGGGGACGGAGAAGGCUAUGUUGGCCGGGCGACGGUUGUCCCGGUUUAAGCGUGUAGGCUGGUUUUCCAGGCAAAUCCGGAAAAUCAAGGCUGAGGCGUGAUGACGAGGCACUACGGUGCUGAAGCAACAAAUGCCCUGCUUCCAGGAAAAGCCUCUAAGCAUCAGGUAACAUCAAAUCGUACCCCAAACCGACACAGGUGGUCAGGUAGAGAAUACCAAGGCGCUUGAGAGAACUCGGGUGAAGGAACUAGGCAAAAUGGUGCCGUAACUUCGGGAGAAGGCACGCUGAUAUGUAGGUGAAGCGACUUGCUCGUGGAGCUGAAAUCAGUCGAAGAUACCAGCUGGCUGCAACUGUUUAUUAAAAACACAGCACUGUGCAAACACGAAAGUGGACGUAUACGGUGUGACGCCUGCCCGGUGCCGGAAGGUUAAUUGAUGGGGUCAGCGCAAGCGAAGCUCUUGAUCGAAGCCCCGGUAAACGGCGGCCGUAACUAUAACGGUCCUAAGGUAGCGAAAUUCCUUGUCGGGUAAGUUCCGACCUGCACGAAUGGCGUAAUGAUGGCCAGGCUGUCUCCACCCGAGACUCAGUGAAAUUGAACUCGCUGUGAAGAUGCAGUGUACCCGCGGCAAGACGGAAAGACCCCGUGAACCUUUACUAUAGCUUGACACUGAACAUUGAGCCUUGAUGUGUAGGAUAGGUGGGAGGCUUAGAAGUGUGGACGCCAGUCUGCAUGGAGCCGACCUUGAAAUACCACCCUUUAAUGUUUGAUGUUCUAACGUUGACCCGUAAUCCGGGUUGCGGACAGUGUCUGGUGGGUAGUUUGACUGGGGCGGUCUCCUCCUAAAGAGUAACGGAGGAGCACGAAGGUUGGCUAAUCCUGGUCGGACAUCAGGAGGUUAGUGCAAUGGCAUAAGCCAGCUUGACUGCGAGCGUGACGGCGCGAGCAGGUGCGAAAGCAGGUCAUAGUGAUCCGGUGGUUCUGAAUGGAAGGGCCAUCGCUCAACGGAUAAAAGGUACUCCGGGGAUAACAGGCUGAUACCGCCCAAGAGUUCAUAUCGACGGCGGUGUUUGGCACCUCGAUGUCGGCUCAUCACAUCCUGGGGCUGAAGUAGGUCCCAAGGGUAUGGCUGUUCGCCAUUUAAAGUGGUACGCGAGCUGGGUUUAGAACGUCGUGAGACAGUUCGGUCCCUAUCUGCCGUGGGCGCUGGAGAACUGAGGGGGGCUGCUCCUAGUACGAGAGGACCGGAGUGGACGCAUCACUGGUGUUCGGGUUGUCAUGCCAAUGGCACUGCCCGGUAGCUAAAUGCGGAAGAGAUAAGUGCUGAAAGCAUCUAAGCACGAAACUUGCCCCGAGAUGAGUUCUCCCUGACCCUUUAAGGGUCCUGAAGGAACGUUGAAGACGACGACGUUGAUAGGCCGGGUGUGUAAGCGCAGCGAUGCGUUGAGCUAACCGGUACUAAUGAACCGUGAGGCUUAACCUUACAACGCCGAAG